AUCGGUAGCGGGAGCUGAGAGCAGACCAGAGAGCCCUGCGCAACCCCACCGCCUCCGCCGGCCUAAUUACCAUCACACCCCGGGAGGAGCCGCAGCUGCCGCAGCCGGCCCCAGUCACCAUCAUUUCAACCAUGAGCAGCGAGGCUGAGACCCAGCAGCCGCCCGCCGCCCACGCCCUCAGCGCCGCCGACACCAAGCCCGGCACCACGGGCAGUGGUGCAGGGAGCGGUGUCCGGGGUGGCCUCACAUAGGCGGCGCCUACUGGCGGGGACAAGAAGGUCAUCGCAACGAAGGUUGUGGGAACAGUAAAAUGGUUCCAUAUAAGGAACGGAUAUAGUUUCACCAACAGGAAUGCACCAAGGAAGAUGUAUUUGUACCCCAGACUGCCGUAAAGAAUAACCCCCCAGGAAGUACCUUCGCAGUGUAGGAGAUGGAGAAACUGUGGAGUUUGAUGUUGUUGAAGGAGAAAAGGGUGCGGAGGCAGCACCCGUUACAGGUCCUGGUGGUGUUCCAGUUCAAGGCAGUACAUAUGGAGCAGACUGUAACCAUUAUAGACGCUGUCCACGUCGUAGGGGUCCUCCACACAAUUACCAGCAAAAUUACCAGAAUCGAGUGGGGAAGAGAACGAGGGAUCAGAGAGUGCUCCCGAAGGCCAGGCCCAACAACACCGGCCCUACCACAGGCAAAGGUUCCCACCUGACUCCAUGCGGAGACCCUAUGGGCGUCCACCACAGUAUUCCAACCUUCCCAUGCAGGGAGGAGUGAUGGAGGCUGCUGACAACCAGGGUGCAGGAGAACAAGAUAGACUAGUGAGGCAGAGUAUGUAUCGGGGAUAUAGACCACCGUUCCGCAGGGGCUCUCCUCGCCAAAGACAGCCUAGAGAGGACGGCAAUGAAGAGGAUAAAGAAAAUCAAGGAGGUGACACCCAAGGUCAGCAGUCACCUCAACGUCGGUACCUCCGCAACUUCAAUUACCGACACAGACGCCCAGAAAACCCUAAACCACAAGAUGGCAAAGAGACAAAAGCAGCCCAUCCACCAGCCAAGAAUUCGUCUGCUCCCGAGGCUGAGCAGGGAGGGCUAAAUGCCGGCUUCCCAUCUCUACCAUUAUACAGUUUAGUCAUCCAACAAGAAGAAAUAUGA